GGCAGCACUUAUCCUCUUCCUUGUUUUUACGAUUCUGAAACAAACAAAAUGGAAGAACACAGAACAAUCUACCUCCUCCUCUCUCUCGAUUUCAUUCGCGGUAAACAACCAUGGAUUUUCGUUCUCAUCUCUUUACAUUGUUCUCUCUGCUCACGGUGUCUCUCAAGCUCACAGUCUCCGAACAAUAACAAUGGAAACUCGGUUUCACUCUUCUCACGGUGGACAACUACCAUAGCUCGACCUCACUUUAUUGGUUUGUUCUCACUCGACAUCUUUCUCGCAAAUUUCUUUCCCGCUUUUAAUCACCGAGUCAAUCAAUGGUGACCCUCUCUUAUUCGCUCUUCAUCACUCUGGGUUUCGCUCUCACUGAGUUAUUCUUUCAAAUUCGUCCUCAGCUUGCGAUUAAACAGCAACAACAAACUUUUCUCUUUCAGAUGAUGAUAUACAAGAACAAAAAAACCAACAACCACAAUUAACAGCGAAUUUAAGGAUAAAAUUAAGGAUGAGAGUGUAGUCGGACUUACCUACGGCAAGGAGGUCUUUGCCGGAUUUGUUGAAGCUUCACCACAAUAUCUGUUGCUGGGAGCGUCGGUGUUGAAAUUUGCAGGUGUGCUUCGUGUAGGUGAGCAAAAACCGUCGGGUGCCGUGUUGAAGAUGAUGUGGGGGCUGCCACUGAAGUUCAAAGGCUUUUGAUGAAGGUGAUGCCAUAACACCUCUCUUUUUGGAUUUAUGGGAUACUUGAAGUUCAACUUCAAGUGGUUGGAAGCUUGAAGAUGAAGAUCUUCAAGUAAGGUAUGAAGAACUACCUUCUCCUCCUUCCUUACUUUGGAACUAAGAAACUUUACAAUUAUGAGAGAAGUGAGAAAGCAAGUAGUUAAGGUUGCUUUUUGUGGGAUUUGCAAUGAAGUGAACACUUCUAUUUAUAGGAAAAGCUUAGGAAGUGUUUGGCAAUUUGGUGAACUUGAUUGGCAAUUUUCAAUCAUUGAAAGAAUAAGAAUAAGAAUAUAUUCCUCAUCAUUGAAAGAAUAAGAAUAAGAAUAAGAAUAUAUUCCUUAUGUCAUUAUCCUUGUGACAAAUAAGCCAUGUGGGUAAAUUUUUAUGUCAUUUUAUGAUAUCUCUAAGUUGCAUAAUUUUAUGACAUAAAAAUCUCUCUUUGGCUUUCUUUGACUUUUGCUAAUCUCACCCCUCUUUUGUUUUCUUUUUCAUGUCACAUGAGAACUCUUGAAGAAAGAAUGAAGAAUCUUGAACUUGAAGAAUGAAGACUUUGAAGAUUGAAGAAUUCAAGAAUGUCUUUGAAGUUUUAUUUUUCUUUCCCUUGUAAUUCCAACUUUGUAUGA